rnacentral:lncRNA from 1 species
UAUUACUUAUUAGUUGUGGCACAUCCUCAUCCAAAAAAAUCAAGCUAGAAGAUGUUAUUUGAAUUUCUUGAUUCUAUAUAAAUACCUAAGAUCUAUCCAUUUCAUAGGCCAAUAUUAGACUAAACAUAUGCCUAUACGGCUUUUACAAACUUUUCAUAUUUAAGUCUUGGCGUCCUUGUCAGACUGAGAAUCCAAAUCCAUUCAAAUCCAAUCAUAAGAAUAAUAACCAGCCAUAGAUCAACCAAAUCGGCCUAAGCUACAAUAGUAUCCCUUAGUCCACAUAUAUCAUGGAUGGAUCCGCUCUGAUACCAUUUAUCACAACUCAGAAUCUCAUC